UCACUCCAUUUCUCACAAUCUCACACACAACAGAAUCAAAAGAAUUGGAGAGAGAAAAAACCCAAAAAACCAAGAAAAGAGAAAAAAAACCCAGAAAAACUAUGGCAGCCUACAAACCCGAAUCCGAAUCCCAAGAUAAAACCAUAAUUUCCAACCAAACAACAACCCCUAAUUCCGAUCAUCAAGAAGAUGAAGAAGAGGUGAUUGUAUACGAACCAAAACCCAGAAUCAGGAAACCCAGAAAGAGGGUACCACACGUUUGUUUAGAAGGAUACGUUGAACCCUCUGAUGACGAUGAUUUACCUCGAACAAAGAGCUUAACUGAUGAUGAUCUUGAUGAAUUAAAGGGUUGUGUUGAUUUAGGGUUUGGGUUUAGUUAUGAUGAAAUUCCUGAACUUUGUAAUACUUUGCCUGCUUUGGAGCUUUGUUAUUCUAUGUCUCAGAAGUUUCUAGAUGAUCAUCCUAAUCAACAACAAUAUCAUCAACAAAGUUUGAAUCAUGCUAAUAGUACUACUGAUACGGCGUCGUCUUCUGGGUCUGAAAGUUCUAGUCCUAUGCCUACUUGGAAGAUCUCUAGUCCUGGUGAUCAUCCUGAAGAUGUCAAAGCAAGGCUAAAAUUUUGGGCUCAGGCUGUGGCGUGCACUGUCAAAUUAUGCAGCUAGAAUGCAGCGGCGCUGCCGUCGACUGAUUUUAUCAGUCUAAGGACAAAAGGAUGUCCUAUUUUCCCUAAAAGAUGAAAAGUCUUUAACUUUCGUAAUCUAAAUGAAUUAAUCUUUGAAUGGGAAGAUAAACAUGCCAGGACCGUCAAAGUUCAGAACUUUGCGACCGAAUUUUGGACAAGAUGGAAUCAGAACCAUUAGAGAAGAGGACCGUGUCAGUGUGUGUUGAGAAUCACCAUUGCAGCUACCUCAGCUUCUUAACUGGCCUCUGCAUUGCUGAGGUAACUCCCCCUUAUUGGAUAAUCAGUCUUGGAUUACUGCCAAUCCUUUCGAUUAUCUCUGCCUGAUGGAACAUACUUUUCGUUUAACCUCUAACUUGGGACUGCUAUAAGUGGUUAUCUGAUUGAUAUGAUGAAUGACAAUGCUGAUCAAGUCUGAUCUUGUGAAUUAAUAUUGAUAUUUGCAAGUUGAUUUUUCGUUAAUGGCAAACUAUGUUGUCUAUGUUUGUACGACUGACUUCUAACUUGUUCUCGCGUUUGAAGAUGAGCACCCUUAAUGACUCUUUUUGUCGGUCUUCUGCAACUUGCUUCAAAGGUUGUCAUUCUCGCGGAGGUGUCUUUGUCCAACUCUCGUACUUGUAUAUGUAGUGUACUAAUAAUUCUGGCCAUAUAAGUACAUAACUUGCUUGGUGAAUUGCAGAUAUUUUCUCAAGUUGUUCUUUGUAUUUGCUCUUGCAGAAGUUUACUCCAAGAGCAAGCAGUUGACGUGUUAGUUGGGUGAUGGAGAUCCAAAAUAACUCUUUGCCGGUUGGUUUGUUACUUGUCUUAUAUGACUUAGAAGAGUUUCCGCCUGAACCAUUUAGUAGUACGAGCAGUUGCUAACAUAUCUCCUUUACUUAGAUGUGGUUGCUGCUGGAAACUAAUGCAUUGCUGUGUUUCUUCUGUUCAUGGAAAAUUUGGUGUUCAUUAGAAUGAGCAGUGAGUCUUUAGGAGGAUUUAUCAGUAUGUUAGUAUUGAUCUGCCUCUGUGCUAUCUAAUGCCACCACGAAGCACGAUCAAGACGUUACAAGCUGUAAGUUAAGAUGUGGCAAAAUUACAAGAGAUGGUACGUCAAACGCUCCAUAACAGAAGAUUGGGAUCUGGAUUGGUCGAAUAAAUGGCCGUGUUUAAUAAAUUUCUCUGAAAUCAGAGAAAGUCAGCUGUGUAGAUCUUGAAGAAGCUUAGUUUACGGGAGAUUUGAUUCAGAGAUACGCUUACAGGCUGCAGAAGAAGAAAGAUUCUUACUUAAAAAGACAUUAGUAUUAACUUAGAUUUUUCGUCUUUUGACUCUCGUAAACUUGCGAAUCCUGUCUCUGACGUCAUGAUAUCAACUUUGCAUAAGAGAAUAUUGUGGUUUAGAUUGACACAUCUGAAUCUUAAGUGUAAGAAUUAAUCAUUUUGAUGUCUAGUUGGCCACAUGGUCUGCCUGAUUAAUUUGGUUACUGCUGUUGAUUAAUUGGUUGUUGGCGUAUUCUUUGGUAUAUCACCAAACUGAUUAUUAAGAUCAAUUUUGCUUUGUAAA